rnacentral:rRNA from 1 species
GAUGAACGCUGGCGGCGUGCCUAAUACAUGCAAGUCGAGCGAACGGACGAGAAGCUUGCUUCUCUGAUGUUAGCGGCGGACGGGUGAGUAACACGUGGAUAACCUACCUAUAAGACUGGGAUAACUUCGGGAAACCGGAGCUAAUACCGGAUGAUAUUUUGAACCGCAUGGUUCAAAAGUGAAAGACGGUCUUGCUGUCACUUAUAGAUGGAUCCGCGCUGCAUUAGCUAGUUGGUAAGGUAACGGCUUACCAAGGCAACGAUGCAUAGCCGACCUGAGAGGGUGAUCGGCCACUCUGGAACUGAGACACGGUCCAGACUCCGACGGGAGGCAGCAGUAGGGAAUCUUCCGCAAUGGGCGAAAGCCUGCCGGAGCAACGCCGCGUGAGUGAGGAAGGUCUUCGGAUCGUAAAACUCUGUUAUUAGGGAAGAACAUAUGUGUAGUAACUGUGCACAUCUUGACGGUACCUAAUCAGAAAGCCACGGCUAACUACGUG